UACGGAGGGGGCUAGCGUUGUCCGGAUUUACUGGGCGUAAAGAGCGCGCAGGCGGUCAGAUAAGUCGAAUGUGAAAGCCCCCGGCUCAACUGGGGAGGGUCAUUCGAUACUGUUCGACUCGAAGGCAGGAGAGGGAAGCGGAAUUCCCGGUGUAGUGGUGAAAUGCGUAGAUAUCGGGAGGAACACCAGUGGCGAAGGCGGCUUCCUGGCCUGUUCUUGACGCUGAGGCGCGAAAGCCAGGGGAGCGAACGGG
rnacentral:rRNA from 1 species